UACGGAGGGGGGCUAGCGUUGUUCGGAAUUACUGGGCGUAAAGCGCACGUAGGCGGCUUUGUAAGUUAGAGGUGAAAGCCCGGGGCUCAACUCCGGAAUUGCCUUUAAGACUGCAUCGCUAGAAUUGUGGAGAGGUAAGUGGAAUUCCGAGUGUAGAGGUGAAAUUCGUAGAUAUCAGGGAGGAACACCUGCGGUGUAGACGGCUUUCUGGACCAUUGCUGACGCUGAGACACGAAAGCGUGGGUAGCAAACAGG
rnacentral:rRNA from 1 species